CCUUCCUAGUUGGAGCAAGAGAGACAAAGCUCUGAUUUUGCAUUAAGUCAGAAAAUUCAAUUUGCCUUUUAAUGAGAGAGAGCAUGCAGCUAAAGAGUGACUGUAAAUCCCAUUCCUGAAGCUAAAAGGGAAUUGUAUCUGCAAGGACAAAACAUCCCUUAAUCUCUUCCCUACUUCAGCCUUUAAAAUAGGAUUUCUGUUCCCUCACCUGUGUAGCCCUGCUAUUUAUCCCCUAGGAGUGAACUUCCUGGGCACUGUGGUUCAAAUGCUUGAACUCCUCCCCUUCUGAGGUUAUGUGCCCUUUGAUCGGAAAGGGAUGACACUCCUAAGCACAGGGACCUGCAGCUACACCAGAAGGAAGCACAGCAGCAGCAUUUCCUAGAAUGCUGUGGACACAGAAGGAUUGAACUGCAGAGCAGUAAGACGCCAGUACUGGAGAAACAGCAAGCAGAGCUUUGGGGUAAAGAGGUGGGGGGCCUACUAGGCACUGCAAUGUCUGCAGCAUGGGGCACGCUGACUGGAGCUGCGGGAUCAAGACUGCCGUGCCAAUGACUGUGUGGUUCAGCUCAGCAUAUACGCAGCACAGGUCACUGUGGGUGGGACUGGUGUCUUCAGGACUGACACAGGUGUGGCUACUAGAUACUGCAUCACAGCCAGGGAGUGAUCAGGCUCAAACUGUCAACUGAGAGAUGUUUAGAGAUCUGGUCAAGUGUUUUUCACCCCAGCCUCUUGGACAGUACUCCGUAUGACUCAAGCCUCCCGUGUAUUUACAUCAAAAAUCUGGCUGAAAAUUAUAAAGAAAAAAAAGUCAACCAAUUCAGGCUAGCCUGUAAGAUCCUAAGUUUUGCAAACUAGAUUGUUUUAUGCUGUGACACUGGUCAACUCCAAACACUAGGACUGAAAAUGUGCAGAAUAUACUUGCUUGUACUGAAACCGUGUAACUCACCUUUGUUGCGUGCUUCACCAAGCCUUUCUGAGAGAGAGAACAUCAUUUCACAAACAUCCCCACUGCAAGAGACAGAAGCUGCAUAAUUAGUGUGAGGAAUAAAAGCACUAGCCUCUC